GUGAGUGUAGCUAACUUAGGGGCAAUAUCUUUGAUUUUAAAUGCUGCAGAGUGGAAAAACAUGUUUGAGUUGAUGCAGAACCCACAGCUCACUAUUGAACAAUCGUGGACCGGACUGACUCUGGAACCUGGGGAGGAGCUGCUGGCUCCUACCGUGCCUGAUAAACAGCUCUCACCUGACUGACAAAGGGUUGCUUGGUUUGUGGAUGGCAGUUCCAAGGUGAAUGGACAACAUCCUGUUCAGAAGGCUGCUACUCUGAUUGUAAAGUGUACUUUUGUGAACAGAAUUUACCUUUCUCUCUAAUUGAGUUCUCCAAAAUGUGGAAAUUACUUAUAAACUGGAAUCAUGAUAUCCUGAAGACUAAAGAUGAUUCACCUAAGGCCUGUAUAGCUCCCUAAUUUGAAAUCCCACUGGACCCUAUCUGCUUUUCAUUGCCAAUGCUGUGCUGCUAAAACUAUCCAAGCAUGCUCCCAGAGACUAUCACCAAAGGGGUGGGCUUGGGAUUGUAAGGGCCAGUUUCUGGCUUCUGACCAGAGGCUGCACUUCCCAGCCUGUCAGAGUGACCACCCUGCAGGCUGCAACGUGCAUGAGAAAUAGAGCUCUCUUUUCCAAAUUUAUGACCCCUGUCGUUCUUCAGCUGACACUACAAAUAUAUGCAAACAACAACAACAACAACAACAACCCUGCUUCAAUUGUGAAAAAGUAACAUAUGAGGCAUCUUAGGUCGUCUGUACUUAACUUUUCUUGAAGUUCAUGUUGCUUGCUAAGCAUAGUGUAUUAACCCAUUCUUCUGUUGCUAUGAAGGACUACCUGAGACUGGGUAAUUUAUAAAGAAAAGAGGUUUAAUUGGCUCAUGGUUCCACAAGCUGUACAGGAAGCAUGGCUGGUGAGGCCUCAGGAAACUUACAAUCAUGGAAAAAGGGUAAGAGAAAGGAGGUAUGUCUUACAUGGCUUCAGAAUGAGGAAGGGAGUGAAGGGGGAGGUUCCACCCACUUUUAAACAACCAGAUCUCGUGAGAAGUCACUCGGUAUCAUGAGAACAGCAAGGGAGAAAUCUGCCCCCAUGAUCCAUUCACCUCCCACCAGGCCGUUCCUCCAACAUCUAGACCAUUUCACAUAGUGAGUUAGAGCCACAAAGAACAGUUUAAUAAAUUUAGAGAAAAACACCUUUUUUAAGACCCCUCUGAGUUGCUAGAUCACAUCAUAUACAGGCAAGGUGAAAUAAAAC
ensembl:lncRNA novel transcript